UACGUAGGGACCAAGCGUUGUUCGGAUUUACUGGGCGUAAAGGGCGCGUAGGCGGCAAUUCAAGUCAGCUGUGAAAUCUCCGAGCUUAACUCGGAACGGUCAGCUGAUACUGUUUUGCUAGAGUGCAGAAAGGGCAACCGGAAUUCUUGGUGUAGUGGUGAAAUGCGUAGAUAUCAAGAGGAACACCUGAGGCGAAGGCGGGUUGCUAGGCUGACACUGACGCUGAGGCGCGAAAGCUAGGGUAGCAAACGGG
rnacentral:rRNA from 1 species